rnacentral:rRNA from 1 species
CCUACGGGUGGCAGCAGUGAGGAAUAUUGGUCAAUGGACGAGAGUCUGAACCAGCCAAGUAGCGUGAAGGAUGACUGCCCUAUGGGUUGUAAACUUCUUUUAUAAAGGAAUAAAACGAGGCACGUGUGCCUUUUUGCAUGUACUUUAUGAAAAAGGAUCGGCUAACUCCGUGCCAGCAGCCGCGGUAAUACGGAGGAUCCGAGGUUUAUCCGGGUUUAUUGGGUUUAAAGGGAGCGUAGGUGGGUUGUUAAGUCAGGUGGGAAAGUUCGCGGCUCAACCGUCAAAGUGCAAUUGAUACUGGCCGGCUUGAGUACAGGUGAGGUAGGCGGAAUUCGUGGUGUAGCGGUGAAAUGCAUAGAUAUCACGAAGAACCCCGAUUGCGAAGGCAGCUUACUAAACUGUGACUGACAUUGAUGCUCGAAAGUGUGGGUAUCAAACAGGAUUAGAUACCCUUGUAGUC